rnacentral:rRNA from 1 species
CGUGAGCCAACAAUGCAAAGAACCCUGAGAAGGGAGUGAAAUAGAACUUGCAACAA